GAGAGACGGAUUCCCCGGUCCGGAACAAUGUCAGUCAGUGGACUUCCAGACCACGCUUCGCCUUCGCUUAAUCCAGCCACUGGCUCAAUGUUAUUGCUCUGCUUAGGAUGGUCAGUCACAGAACACAUGUGCAACAGUAACACACCAAUCUCAUGGAGAAUAAACAGGGGUAUUUUACAUGACAGCUUGGCUGGGAUUUUCAAAGUGGCUGUGGGAAUAUGAAAUCCGUGGUGCUGCUCCGGAAGCUAUCAAGGCAGCUGGAUGAGUUCUCUCUCUUACAAGAUUUUGUAGAACUCAGUGACUGAUCUUUCAAAACAAAGUUUGUUGGUUUUUUUUUUCAUUUUAACUUGAGAAGUUUAAGAUUCACUUUUUGCCAAACAGCAUCUCGUUCGGUCUGUGGUUUGAUCUCCCUUUCGGGGUGAGAGGCAGCUGGCUGCGGGGCUGCACUGCGAGUCCCGCUAGCUCAAUCUGCAGCAAAUGCUGCCCCUGGUGUUUCACAGCAGGAAAUACCCCAAAACCGUCCCUUGGCUUUCCAUGUUUUGUCCAGAAGACCUUGGCGAAUGCCACCAUCCCUGGACACCACCAUCAGUUUUGGAUAGGUUGUUUCAAUUUUCUUAAAAGCAAACUGUUCUUAACAUGAUCAUAACAUCCCUUGCGCUUUGUGUUACUAAACAUGCACAGGAUAAAACAUUUAAUGUAACAGGACCUGAACAAUUAAUUACUUUUUUUCCCUUCUGUUGACACUGAUUUGUGACCUUUUUACAUGAUACUGUAAUCUCACAUGAGCUGUCAUGCUUGAGCAUUUUUUCUGUGUGAAUUCCCUGUUAUUGAAGCUCUGAGUUUCCCAAGCUGGCAGCCCCUUCCAGAUCAGCAAAGCACUUAUUUGUGCUGGGUUCACAGCCAGACAUCUCAUUGUGGUAAUACCUUUACAAAAAUGGAACAAAAAGACUGAGCUGAACCUAUGUCACCUAAAAUCUCAAGUGCAUAUCUUGUUCAUCUGUGUUUAGAAAUUGUGUAUCAAAUUGCCUCAAAGUUGUAUUAAAUCCACAGGAACAACUUAAUAUCAAUCCUGAGGAUGUUACAAUUUUGGAGCUUAGAAUUUUCAGCCAUUUCUAUUAUUUGCUUUUCAGCGAGGAUUCUCGGCCGUUUUGAAGGCCUACAGUUAUACAUACAUGUAUUUCUGAGGGUAUUGCAAGCUAGGCAGGCCCCUAUCAUGCUGCUUACCUUGCAAAUUGUUUAACUUUGAAGCAGAGUCUGACUGCACUCGAGUCAGUUUUCUUGUCCUUAAAUUUUGGGCACAAGAUGCAUGCAACUACUACUCUGUUUAAACUGUAAGGUAAGCCAUUUUGAACACACCAUUUUUGGUUUUUUAUUUUUUUUAAAAAAUAAGAAUAUACUCCCCAGAGCAAUCUCAAGAAACUAGGUUUACAGGUUAUUUAAUAAACAACAGGGUAAAAAUUCACAUAAACUAUUCGGGGAAGUGGAAUCACUGAAGUGGUUAUUAUCAGGUUUUUUUCAAUAUAAUUUUGGUAGAUCAUAUUUCUUACAUUCUUUUCUCUAAUCUCUAAAUGCAGAUUAGAACUUGGCAUUUCUUUCUUCUCAGAGCAGAAUCAGAAACUCAACUUUUUAAAGUCCUUUUUAAAGUCUCUUUUGUGUAUGGUGGAUAUUUCUCUUGGAGUAGUAUUGUAUUUACACGUGUUUGUGUAUCACAUGUGUACACUAGCACACCCACUCUGUUUAUCCAGACAGACUUACAGAAGGAUAAAACCAGAAGUCUUUAUUUAUCCAAAUAAAAGUAAACUAGAGGAGCUAAGCAUGGGAAUUGCCUGCAAUUGCCUGAGGAACUGCUAAAAAUAGCUGCUUUCUGGAAACAGGAGAAGCCUUCACUGUCGAAAAAGUAACAGUAACAGCUAUCUACUAUUAGCAAACUACUUUCUUUCCAAAACCUGAAGGACACAGGGACAAAAAUCGCUUCUUGUCAUACUUCACUGUGAGAACUGGACAGAAUGUAGACUAAAGAGGGCCUUCUGUCCCAGAAGUACAUCAUGUUGGUAAGCCUGGUCCUGUGCAUAAAUACCUUGUGUGAACUUCAUCAUUAGCACCGUCUCCAGUUACAGAACUUAAACUAGAGCAGAUUAUCAAAACAUUACAGGAACUAAAGUAAUUCCCAAGUACGAUCAUUAAUCACCUGCGCCAAGUCUAAUCACAUUCUGAGCUCUCUUCAUUGUUCCAUUAAGACAGGUACUUUAUCUUAAUUAGAGCUACUGCUUCAAAAAUUAACACUAAAGACAAUUUAAAAUGUCUUAUCGGAACAAACAUUUUAUUCUCUCACCUCCUAACUCCAUUCAACUUCUCUGAUGUGGAAAAAAAACCAUGAAAGACCGGUCAGAUUUCUGACUUCUCCCAUCAUUAGAUAUUUGCACAAUUUUUUUCUGCUAGAAAUACUCUUACUGAGUAAUUCUAUAUAUAGAAAGUCUCAGGGGGUAGAGUCCUCUUUGUGCUUCAUGCUGUACAAGCACUAGCAUUUACAGACUGACCUGGAAAAUUUGAUCUAAAUUUUUUCAUAUUUACUCUUCUAAACAAUAUUUUCAUUUCCUGUGGUGAAGACAAAUGUAAACAUGAUGUAAUGAUACUUCACUUUUGCUGUCUUGCAGAAACACUUCAGAUAAAACAACAGCCACAAAAACAUUAUCACUUCCUCCAAUCUCAGUGAGGGGAAUAUCAGGGUUUAACAGAGACUAUACACACAAACAUCGUAUAUACACACAAAUAUCGUUUAACAGAGACUAUACACACAAACCCUGCAAAAUCAAAUCAAAUAUCUGUUUCUUGCUGAAAUAGAAAUCAGUGGUGGCAAUUUGAGGCAUUUUCUUAGUCCCACUGGUGAUAGCACACACAAGGUUAGUAAACCUCCAGAAGCACUUUCUACCUAAGAAACUUCAGCAGGAUUCUUUUGGAUCCCUGUUAGCAACAGAAAAACACUCUUCUGGGAAAAAAAAGUGCCUGCAGGAACAAGUAGUAGAUAGCUUUCACUUUUUAGGUGCAUGGAGAGGAGGUGGGAAACAAGGUCUGGGAUAUUAAAAAAUUGCUCACUGAACAAUUUGGCCAUUUUAAUUUUCAAUCAAAAUGUAUGCAUUCUUGAAAUACUACCUUUAAUCAGCAAGCCAGAAUUUCCCAAACUUAUUUCUUAAUUUGGUAGCAAACAGUUUAAAUGUAGCAAAAUGAAGGAAAAGGAAUAGAGAAUUCCUUCAGCUUUGGUAACCAGGGAGACAGAUAUGAGACAUACCAAAUCUCAGAAUUUUAUAUAUCUAACUCACAGUUUUGGAAGAAGGUAUGGAAAGAAUAUCUUCAACAUAAGUUGAACAAAUCUCAAUCUGUAUACUGAGAAUUUUCAUUUUGGUUUUGUAAAUCUUGUAUCUGUAUGUGGAAAAAAGGAGAACUGAUGUUAUUAGCUCUCUCUAAUAGCAUAUAAACCAUUGCCUAGUUUCAACUCCUUAAAAAAGUAAAACCAGUUCAUUUCUUACAAUGAAUGCUGGAAAAAGGGUAGUGAAUGACAAAUCUAAGGUGCAGUCUCUGAAUAAAAAACUCAGCAGAUGUUCACUGUUAAGCUAUACACCUGUUAGCAGUUGCCCUUCCAAUCAAGCUAUUUGUUUCCAGUAGAGUGGUAAAUCUUACAGACAAAUCCAUGAGAAAUCAGGUUUCAUUAGUUUUGCUUUUGAGAGAGUAACCUGUUAAAAGAAUUCAGAGUGUAAACAGUAUCUUGCCUUUCACUAGGUUGCCAUAUUAGCCACAAAAGACUAAUAAUGUGCAUAGAGCAAGAUGUAGGAACAGUUCCUAACUGGAUUCAAAACGCUGUGCCUCACAUCUUAUCUUAGACUACAUCUGAUUCAUUUCAUAUGCAGCACAAAAUACAGGGACAGAAACAUUGAAUGAUUUGGGUUGGAAGAUUAUAAUGGCCUGGGACAUCUUCCAUUAGACCAGGUUGCUCUGACCCAUCCUGACCCAACCUUACACGCUUCCAGGAAUGGGGCAUGCACAGCUUUUCUGGGCAACCUGUGCUAGUGCCUCACCACCUUCACCCCAAAGAUUUUCUUCCCGACAUCCAUCUAUACCUACCCUCCUUAAAUUUAAAACUUGUUAGUUGUCCUGUCACUACAGGCCUUGGUAGAAAAGUCCCUCCCCAUCUUUCUUGUAUGCCCACUUUAAGUACUGAAAGGCUGCAAAAAGUCUCCUUUGUGCCUUCUCUUCUCCAGACUGAACAGCCCCAGCUCUCUCAGCCUGUCUUCAUGAGAGAGGUGCUCCAGCCCUCUGAUCAAUUUAGUGGCCCUCUGAUCAAUUGGACCCGCUCCAGCAGGUCCAUGUCUUUCCUGUGCUGAGGACCCCAGAGCUGGAUGCGGCACUCCAAGUGCGGUCUCACUAGAGUGGAGUAGAGAGGCGAAAUCCCCUCCUUUGACCUGCUGGCCAAGCUGGUUUUGAUGCAGCCAGGACAUGGUUGGCUUUCUGGGCUGCAAAGGCACAUUGCUGGCACAUGUCCAGUUUUUCAGGAUGGACGGUAUCUUAUUUAACACUUCCUAACCCCUCAAAAAUCUACUCUGAUUUGGGUUUCAUGUAAUUCUGGUAAGCCAUGCAUUCUGCUUCUGAAUAACUCCUACAUUCUGUUAAGUUACACUGUAAGAAUUCCCACUUAUCUUGCAUGGGCACAUUAAUCCAUUCUCUUAGGCUUGCAGUUACUGCAAGUUUCUGCCAUUAUGUUUGCACAACAUAAUUUGAUGUUUAAAAUCUGAGUAAAUUGCCCCAGCUGCUUAUCAGAGACAGCAAUGAGGGCCCAUGUGUUCAUUUAGAUGGCUAAGCCAGACUCAGUCUGUAUGACGCCUAUAAUAUGACUCAUCACCUACUCUCUCAAGAGAGGAAUGACUACUGUGCUGCAAAUGUAGUCAGGACCGCAGAAUAUUUCCUCUGUUGCCUUGCAACUGUCUAUACUGAUUCCUCAGAGGAGAAAUAGAUCUUUGCAUUUGGGUUCUGUUUAUUGUAACUAUCAUUCUAACUGGCUGGACCUACUUGCAUACAGUGAGCAAUAAGGAAGGUAAGAUGCAGUCAUAAGUUCUUAUAUAACAUAGCCUUACCUUUCCAAACACACUUUUUUCAAAAGACCUCAGCAACUCCUACCUUUCCUACUAUACAGCUCAAUAUACAUAGGUGGAAGUUUUAUUUCGCGAGUAAAUAGAUACUGAGCUGUUAUUUCUAAGAACAGAAGGAAACUUAAAAUGAUUUAUGCAGUAAGACUGGAGGACUGAUUUGGUAAACCUUUGGGUUAUUAUUGACACAGAUGAGAAAAAAAGAUACAACACAUUAUCAAACAGCCGUUUAAAGGCAUAUAUGAAUUUCACUGUAGCCUAAAUAGAAUCUUGAAGUCCAAGCAGAGAUAAAGUGCAUGCAGAUAAAGCAGGCCAUUCAAAUUUUUAUAAGAUGUCUUUCAAAGAGCUAUAUGAUCACUUAAUCAAUUUUCUCUUCUUGAAAACUGUCUGCAUCAUCCAUGCAAUCUUCAAGAUCAUCGUAUCUCUGCAAAUGAAAUAAAACUUGUAUUAUUUUAUCAAUGUUUAAUAACUAGGUUAUGUAAAGACUGCUUUUUCUUGUUCAACACAUUACCAAACAUGUCAAUAACAAUUUAGAAAGAAUGAUAUCUGAAAGCUUGCUAAAUGCAAUUGUACUUCAAGUUGUCUUAAAAUAGUUUAUAAAGUGUUCCUAAAUAAUUCAAAGUGCUUCAGUGUAAAUAAACAGAAUUCUAAAAUA